rnacentral:rRNA from 1 species
UGCAAGUCGAACGCGAAAGUGGAGCAUCCAUGAGUAGAGUGGCGAACGGGUGAGUAACGUGGGUGACCUACCUUCGAAUGGGGGAUAACGUCCCGAAAGGGACGCUAAUACCGCAUAACAUCCUGCCUUUGAACAGGUGGAGAUCAAAGCCGGGGAUCGCAAGACCUGGCGUUUGGAGAGGGGCCCGCGUCUGAUUAGCUAGUUGGUGAGGUAACGGCCCACCAAGGCGACGAUCAGUAUCCGGCCUGAGAGGGCGGACGGACACACUGGGACUGAGACACGGCCCAGACUCCUACGGGAGGCAGCAGUGGGGAAUUGUUCGCAAUGGGCGCAAGCCUGACGACGCAACGCCGCGUGGAGGAUGAAGGUCUUCGGAUUGUAAACUCCUGUUGCCAGGGACGAAGAGCUCCGACCUAACACGUCGGAGUCUGACGGUACCUGGUGAGGAAGCCCCGGCUAACUCUGUGCCAGCAGCCGCGGUAAUACAGAGGGGGCUAGCGUUGUUCGGAAUUACUGGGCGUAAAGGGCGCGUAGGCGGCCCGCUAAGUCGAACGUGAAAUCCCCGGGCUCAACCCGGGAACUGCGUCCGAUACUGGCAGGCUUGAAUCCGGGAGAGGGAUGUGGAAUUCCAGGUGUAGCGGUGAAAUGCGUAGAUAUCUGGAGGAACACCGGUGGCGAAGGCGGCAUCCUGGACCGGUAUUGACGCUGAGGCGCGAAAGCCAGGGGAGCAAACGGGAUUAGAUACCCCGGUAGUCCUGGCCCUAACGAUGAAUGCUUGGUGUGGCGGGUAUCGAUCCCUGCCGUGCCGAAGCUAACGCAUUAAGCAUUCCGCCUGGGGAGUACGGUCGCAAGGCUG